rnacentral:rRNA from 1 species
UACAGAGGUCCCAAGCGUUGUUCGGAUUUAUUGGGCGUAAAGGGUGCGUAGGCGGCGGAGUAAGUUGGGUGUGAAAUCCCGGGGCUCAACCCCGGAACUGCAUUCGAUACUGCCUGGCUAGAGUACUGGAGAGGAGAUUGGAAUUUACGGUGUAGCAGUGAAAUGCGUAGAUAUCGUAAGGAAGACCAGUGGCGAAGGCGGAUCUCUGGACAGUUACUGACACUGGGGCACGAAGGCCAGGGGAGCAAACGGG